rnacentral:hammerhead_ribozyme from 1 species
CGCUGUUCGGAAGAUGUAUGUCUUCCCUGAUGAGUCGGAAACGACGAAAACAGUU